ensembl:misc_RNA Metazoa_SRP Metazoan signal recognition particle RNA
GCCGGGUGUGGUGGUGCACACCUGUAAUCCCAGCUUCUCAGGAGGCUGAGGCAGGAGAAUCACUUGAACCUUGGAAGUUGGUUGCAGUGAGCCGAGAUCGUGCCACUGUACUACAGCCUGGGCAACAGAGUGAGACUCUGUCUCAA